rnacentral:rRNA from 1 species
GGAAUCUUAGACAAUGGGGGCAACCCUGAUCUAGCCAUGCCGCGUGAUCGAUGAAGGCCUUAGGGUUGUAAAGAUCUUUCAGUUGGGAAGAUAAUGACGGUACCAACAGAAGAAGCCCCGGCUAACUCCGUGCCAGCAGCCGCGGUAAUACGGAGGGGGCUAGCGUUAUUCGGAAUUACUGGGCGUAAAGCGCACGUAGGCGGAUUGAAAAGUUAGGGGUGAAAUCCCAGGGCUCAACCUUGGAACUGCCUUUAAAACUAUCAGUCUAGAGUUCGAGAGAGGUGAGUGGAAUUCCGAGUGUAGAGGUGAAAUUCGUAGAUAUUCGGAGGAACACCAGUGGCGAAGGCGGCUCACUGGCUCGAUACUGACGCUGAGGUGCGAAAGCGUGGGGAGCAAACAGG